rnacentral:rRNA from 1 species
AAGGUGCUGCAUGGUUGUCGUCAGCUCGUGCCGUGAGGUGUCAGGUUAAGUCCUAUAACGAGCGCAACCCCUACCGUUAGUUGCCAGCAUGUCAUGAUGGGGACUCUAACGGGACUGCCGGUGCAAACCGCGAGGAAGGUGGGGAUGACGUCAAAUCAUCACGGCCCUUACGUCCUGGGCCACACACGUGCUACAAUGGCCGGUACAGAGGGAAGCCACCCCGUAAGGGGGCGCGGAUCUAUAAAACCGGUCACAGUUCGGAUCGGGGUCUGCAACUCGACCCCGUGAAGCUGGAAUCGCUAGUAAUCGGAUAUCAGCCAUGAUCCGGUGAAUACGUUCCCGGGCCUUGUACACACCGCCCGUCAAGCCAUGGAAGCCGGGAGUGCCUGAAGUCCGUCACCGCAAGGAGCGGCCUAGGGCAAAAUCGGUAACUAGGGCUAAGUCGGAACAAGGUAGCCGUACCGGAAGGUGCGGCUGGAUCACCUCCUU